rnacentral:rRNA from 1 species
CCCUUAGACGUUCUGGGCCGCACGCGCGCUACACUGACACAGGCAACGAGCUUUCCUUUACCGAAAGGUAUGGGUAAUCUUUUGAAACUGUGUCGUGCUGGGGAUAGAUCCUUGCAAUUUUUGAUCUUAAACGAGGAAUUCCUAGUAAGCGCGAGUCAUCAACUCGCGUUGAUUACGUCCCUGCCCUUUGUACACACCGCCCGUCGCUACUACCGAUUGAACGGUUUAGUGAGGGCCUCGGAUUGGUCUCGGCCCGCUCUUUACCGGGCGGCGCCGUUGGUCGAGAAGACGCUCGAACUUGAUCGUUUAGAGGAAGUAAAAGUCGUAACA